rnacentral:rRNA from 1 species
UUGGGGUUAUAUGGUCAGCGAAUAAGCGCACACGGUGGAUGCCUAGGCGGUCAGAGGCGAUGAAGGACGUGGUAGCCUGCGAAAAGUGUCGGGGAGCUGGCAACAAGCUUUGAUCCGGCCCCAUCCGAAUGGGGAAACCCACUGCUUCGGCAGUAUCCUGCAGUGAAUUCAUAGCUGCUGGAAGCGAACCCCGU